rnacentral:rRNA from 1 species
AUUGAACGCUGGCGGCAGGCCUAACACAUGCAAGUCGAGCGAGCGGCGGACGGGUGAGUAAUGUAUGGGGAUCUGCCCGAUAGAGGGGGAUAACUACUGGAAACGGUAGCUAAUACCGCAUACCAUCAGAUGAACCCAUAUGGGAUUAGCUAGUAGGUGAGGUAACGGCUUACCUAGGCGACGAUCCCUAGCUGGUCUGAGAGGAUGAUCAGCCACACUGGGACUGAGAAACGGCCCAGACGCCUACGGGAGGCAGCAGUGGGGAAUAUUGCACAAUGGGCGCAAGCCUGAUGCAGCCAUGCCGCGUGUAUGAAGAAGGCCUUAGGGUUGUAAAGUACUUUCAGCGGGGAGGCGUUACAAGAAGAAGAAGCACCGGCUAACUCCGUGCCAGCAGCCGCGGUAAUUG